GUGGUUUUAAAGUUAAAAAUGUUUUCAUCACAAAACACCGGAAUCCUUGAAGAAACCUCGCUGUGUAUCGUACAUCAUUUCAACAGACAUGGUUUUAGUCAUCAACAAUUAUCAGCACAUCUCAAGGAGCCCUCAGCAGAUGACAGUUUUAACUAUACGCUCCACCUUUUGAAAUUACUGCAAAUACUGGUUCAUUAAGAUGAUGAGGAGCAGCAGUUUCCUCACAAGAGAUGCACAAGGGCUGUGUAGAUUGCAGCUUCAUCAUG